rnacentral:rRNA from 1 species
AGGUAAUAGAUGCGCUCUAGUGCACCUUGCUCUUUUAUAUAAAAAAAAGUGCUUUUUGUUCACGUUCGGGGGGGUCGUGAAGAUCUUAUCUGCAAGUAAUUGUGCUCGGAAGGGUUAUGAUGACUAUAUAAUAAUCAGACAUAGUAUGCUAAGGUAGUAUGUCUAAAGGGAAACAGCCCAGAACAAGAGUUAAUAAGGUUCCAAAAUUAUUGUUAAGUGAAAAUAAGGUAGUUUCAAUGCAAAACGGCCAGGAGAUAGACUUAGAUGCGGCCAUUUUUUAAAGACCUCGUAACAGAGCACUGGUUUAGUAAAUUAUUUAUAUAAUUUAUAUUGAUAAAAGCACCAAAAAUUUAACGGAUCUAAACAAUAUACCGAGACCUUGUCCAUAUUUAUAUAUAUAUCUAAGUUGUAUAUUGUAUUUAUGGGGUAGCGGAACAUUGGGCAAAUCUCAGAUUUUUUCUUUAGAAGACUUAAGAUAAGAUAACCCAAGUGAUAAUGCUGACAUGAGUAACGAUAAAGGGAAUGAACCAUUCCCUCGCCUAAAACUUAUGGUAUUUACUUAAAGUAACGGCCUCUAAGUUUAUGAACCUAAAGGACUAAACGAUGAGAAAAUCUACCACUUCAAUUUUUUUUAAGAA